UACGGGGGGGGCAAGCGUUGUUCGGAAUUACUGGGCGUAAAGGGCGCGUAGGCGGUCGGAUAAGUCAGCUGUGAAAACCACGGGCUUAACUCGUGGCCUGCAGUUGAGACUGUCUGGCUUGAGUGUGGGAGAGGAGAGUGGAAUUCCUGGUGUAGCGGUGAAAUGCGUAGAUAUCAAGAGGAACACCUGAGGUGAAGACGGGUUGCUGGGCUGACACUGACGCUGAGGCGCGAAAGCCAGGGGAGCAAACGGG
rnacentral:rRNA from 1 species